CUGAACCUCUAUUUAUCACAAGUUUCUGUGCAGACAGAAAAGGAGAGCAUAUGCAACUCAGGCAGACUCAGACAGCAGACUGGGACUUGCACCCAAAUAGGGGCCUCUAGCCUCUACUUUCUCAUGCUGCCAUCUCUGCUCCUCUCCUCUCCCACAUACGCCUUUGCCCCAUGUAGUGACUUAACACAACAAAUCCUAGGAGUGUAUUUUACAGGGUUUGAAGAAGGCUCAGCACCUUUGAAAUGCAAAGCUCAUUAGUUCUAGUGCUCCUGGGACAAUGAAGCUUUGGUUUUCACAGAUUGUGUUCUCCAUCCAACCCAGCUCUUCCACCCACCCUACAAAGCUCUUUCCCAUACACCAAACUGAGUGUCAUCUGCUGCCUGGGCGACAGGCAGCGCACAUUACAGCUCACGAGUACCUACGUGUUCCUACUCCAGAGCAGAAGUUUUCCUACCCCACCCCAUCACCACAGUGGCUUCCGAGGAAAGUUAGCCUGUGUGAAGAAACAGCAACUGGGCGCAUGAUGAUCAGUAUGCAUGUAUGUAAUAGCCUGAACAGCAGCCCUGAGCUCUGAGUAAAAACAGCUAAGAAGCAAUCCUCAUCCAGGGCAUUUCUGGCUCUUGGCUUCUUCCAGGAGAACAGGGAGCACAAACACUAAAGCAGGAUUCUUGCAGGGAGAGGAUGAGACCUAGGGACUUCCUAAGACUCAUCUGUGGACACAGCUUUGCCCAGAAAAAGGAUGUUAAUAAGCUCUGUUUAACCCACACGAGCACCUGCAACAAUGUUUGAUGUUACAUGCACACCCUCUGCGGUCAGCCAGAUGCUCACACUGGUGCCUCACUUCCUUUCCAGCACUUUCUAUACGCUCCCAAGAAAACCUCACCUCCCCACUUCCCUUUUUUAAGUCCCCACCAUCUUCAUUCCUCUUUUGUGAGGGGCCUGCUCUAACCUCAGUGCCAGAAGUGAACGUAUUUCCUUCUCAGGCCUUCUGCAACAGUAUUAAAUUAUUUAGUCUGUAUUGACAGGUUUUCUUCUCUUUUAGUUUUUCCAGUGGAAAGAAGAUGCAAUGAUUUUGCUCUCGCGUAUCCAUGCUGAGCAUGAAAAUCUCAGCUAGAAAGCUACACAAUUUUUCAUGAGGGAAGAACAUCAAAGAAAGGUUUGGUGAUUUGCCUGGCUGUGACCACAGCCUCUACUGGCCAAUGAGACUGCACACACCUAAAGCCUGCAGAAGCAGAGCUGAAUAACACAUGCAGGAAAACUAUUUCCCACAUGAGCUCAUGAACUAGUUGACAAGGUUAUCAUACCACAUCACAUGCAAGCACGUGUGGAAGUCUGCUCAGUUCCCAAUGCACCUAUGUAGGCAUAGGGGUCUGCUCAAGGAUACUGUAAGAUCAGGGCACAACACUCAACGGAGAAGCUCUGCUAGGCAUACGAACACCUAGUAGUUCCUUCCGAUCAUCCUGUCUGUACCACAUCCUUGUACCACCCCUCCCUGUUCCUCAGCCAUAGCAGCCUUUCUUAGUAGAAAGUGUUUUUCAGCCUCUCUCAAACACAAAAGAAAAAUUCAGCCAACAAGAUGACACAGACAGAGCCAUUAGAAAGCAAAUACAGGAACACUGUAAGUCACUUUCAAUGGAGAGCAACAAAGAAUUAAAAAUCCAGUCCAAAUAUUGAUGGAAGGGGGAGAAGAACUGAGAGCAGAGCACAAAAGGAAAACUUUCACAGUUAUUUUUCUCAGCCUACCUUUAAGGUGCCACCCUUCCUUGUUAAGAUGAAGCCUAGUUUUCACAAUUCCUGUGCUUGGAAGGCAAAGAUUCUGCUUCUUACAUCUUGUCCCUGCGUAAGACAAAAAAGAAAGAAGAGAAGUGAAUCUAUCUUUGUCAAGGAAAUUUA
ensembl:lncRNA